rnacentral:rRNA from 1 species
UACGUAGGUGGCAAGCGUUGUCCGGAAUUACUGGGCGUAAAGGGCGCGUAGGCGGCACCUUAAGUCAGAUGUGAAAACCCAGGGCUUAACCUUGGGACUGCAUUUGAAACUGAGGAGCUAGAGUGCCGGAGAGGAAAGCGGAAUUCCUAGUGUAGCGGUGAAAUGCGUAGAUAUUAGGAGGAACACCAGUGGCGAAGGCGGCUUUCUGGACGGUAACUGACGCUGAGGCGCGAAAGCGUGGGGAGCAAACAGG